UUCCGUCAUGUGAUGUUCGGCCAUUACCAAGAGACGUACGUGUUCCAGUAGAGAGAAACGAUGAAAUUUGGUUGGAAAUAUCAGCAUGCUUUCAAAAAUCUUUUCUUUUAAUACUCGAAAAACUGGGGAAAAAAUCCUCGAAAGUGAUGUUGGAACAGAAUUACCACUUACGUCUGGAGGGAUAUUCCCAGAUUUAGAUGCUACCCAGAUUCGAAUAUUGGUAUUUAAAGACUGUGACCGGAAAGGAAAGACCCUACUGUAUGACUCUAAGAUUGCUAAGCAGAUACAGGAAGAAAGAACACAGGAUGCAGCCCAAGGCAAACAGCAGGACAAAACAAACAGCAAAGCUGCUACAAGAAAACCAGACCACAACCAUGGAAGUUAUAGUACUCCCCCAGUCAAAAAGAAACUGCAUCGGCGAUCAAGUAGUGACUCUACAUUGUUGGGAGAAAUGAUAUUUGGAUCAGUAGCUAUGACAUAUAAGGGAUCAACAGUCAAAGUUCAUCUCAUAAGAUCACCUCAUCAGCUGUUGAUGACCAAAGUAUUCUCUCUUCGUCCUCGUAUGUCUGUAUCAAGUAACUGCAGUGAUAAUACAGAUAGUUUCAUGAGCAGUGCAAGUCAAAUUGACUCGAUCUUAGAAGAUGGCAGUCGGAUUGAGAGUGACUGUGUUUCAUUGUCAUCACAAAGCAACAGUCCAAAAGAUUCCCAUCUAGUCCAGGAGAAUUCUUCCACUCCUGUACCUGUGCCUCAAUUAACACCAACAGUUAAUAUUGAACCUGAAGAUGAUAGUGGAUUUACUGCAUCACUGGACAGCUUAUGUUGCCAUGGUAGUGUCACAUCCUUGUUUACCCCUGCAUCAUCUCCAUGUGGUAGUUUCCAAAGAAGGUUACAUCGUAGUCAGAUCACAAGUAUUGAUAGCAGAUUCAACAAGAAACAGGAAGAAUCUUCAGAAGAGCCUAAUUCCCCAAUUCUUAGACGUCGACCUAAAAUUGGUAUCGGAAUUCUUUUCCCCCUGAGUGACAGUGAUGAACAAAGCAGUGCUCUUCAAAGAUUUUUCUUUGCACAUUUCCCUCUGUUUAACUCACAUGUGCAUCGGCUGAGGUUGGCAGUUGAGAGAGCUUGCCAUUCUAGAAACUCUUUUGCAAUGCAAGUUACAGAGGCAUUUAAUAGAUUUUGUGAGGAGAUUAGCAACUUUCUCAAGACUCCAAGACUCAAGCAACCAGUGUGGCUUAACAUGAUGACGUUUCCAGAUCAUAGAGGGGAUUUGUGUGAAAAAUUUAUGGAACAGCUGACAGGAUGUCUAAACCUGUAUAACAACAGAGAAACAAAUUUUUUUCUCACAGCAGUAUUGUCUGCUGUCCUCACUCAUCAUCUGGCUUGGGUGCCUACUGUUAUGCCUGCUGGGGCAGCUCCAAGCAGAGCAUACUUAGACAAACAUUCUUCCAAAACACUUGACCUUUUGGCACAGUCACAUCCUUAUAAUCCACUGUGGGCACAAUUAAGCGAUCUUUAUGGUGCAAUAGGUUACCCAUUAAAACUAGCAAGAACUGUUGUUGUAGGGAAAAAUGCCAAACUUGUUGGUCAAGUGCUUCAAAUUCUCAGUUACUUCAUUCGAUGUACAGAAGUCUUUGAACAUACUCCAGAAAGAGUAGACUUACCAGAGCAUGAUUUUUCUCAUUCAGAUUUCACAGAAGUAGAAAACUGUUGUCUUUGUAGGCAAAAUGAAGAUGAACCCUGUCAUAAGCACAGUAUUUGCAAUCCAUGUAUUGAGAAAAGUGGACUAUCAAUUUGUUCAAAUUGUCAAAAAUUGAUACCAAAGGAAUUAGAUGAAAAUAUAUCCUUGCAAUCUUCCCAGCUGUCAAGAACAUUAUUACAAGGUCUUCCAUGCUGUUCAGAUUGUGGACUGUUGCAAAGAAAUGAAAACAUUGAAGAAAUAUUUCGUGUAAAUAGUAUGUCGGGCACAUGUGGGACAUGUCUGCCAAAAUGGACAUCAGCUAAGGGACUUCAGCAUUUUCUAGAUGAUUUAAGUUAUUUGGAGCGAAGUGAGACAUUCAAAUGCUAUUGUUGUGAGAAGAAAGAAAAGACAGAAGAAAGUACCUCAACCUUUAAGUGUUAUUGUACUGGUGAUUCUAGAUGUAGUCUUUGUUCUACUACGAAAAAUGGCUUGAAUACAAACUUGCAAAAAAGUAUUGAACUUGAUAUCAUAUUCCUGCAGCUUUUACUUCAUGACCAGUUUUGCUCUAAACUAGAAUGCAAAUGUUUUACACCAAAGGACAAUACAAGUUGCUUGGAAAUGGACUUAGAGCAGGACAGCUCAGAACAAAAUGAUGUUGAAUCCAAUGAUUCGUCUGCUCGCAGUGGUUCUCUAGAUUCAGGUUUUCAUCCAGGGACACCGUCAUGUAGCACCAAAAGUAAAAUGGAGCUAGAAGAAUAUUUGAGUCUAGAUACACUAGAAGAUGAAGAUGAGUUUGGUCCAGAAGAACUACCACUACCAGGGUAGGUGCAGUUUUUUGUUUUUAAUAUUUUUCAACUCUGUUUUGUGUUGUUAUUUAGACCUUUAAUUUUGAUGGUUUGCCCCAAGAGCCAUAAAGCUCACCGAAGAGGCAGCCACGUGUAAAGACUUGUAGAUGGAUCAAGUAAAGAUGGUGAUCACAGAAAACCAGAUGAAUGGAGAAAGUCAAACAACUUUGGUCGUUCACUUUUUGCAGGGGUUGGUGAAACAUAUCAUCCAGACUUUGUCCUU
rnacentral:misc_RNA from 1 species